rnacentral:misc_RNA from 1 species
UUGUUUUUUUGGAUGAGUCGGGCGAUGGAAGUUGGUCAGCAUGCACCAGAGGUUGAGGCUGCUGAAGUAUCAGAUGAAGAUGUUGAGGCCUACAUCGGCAAAGCCACCGGCUUAGAUCUGAAUGCCGGAUUCUUCGUCUUACGGCUUGAAUCGAGCUGGGAGGCUGUGGAUCUGAGCACGGGAGGUUCUAGAGCUAGCGAAAUCGCAAGGCUAUUAGGAUCUAAGAGAUGCGCCGACUUGAAGAGGCGAGAUCUACAACAAAAACAAACAUGGAGCUACAACGAGAUUCUUAAGUGA